AUUGUGGUGUCAAGAGAAACCUAUUGUAAGAAGUGCAUGUAUAUCAGAAAGAGCUCAUUAAAUGAACAGUAGGAAUUCUGUCAUGGGCAUUUCAGACACGGCUAUGCCUUAUCUUUGGGUCAUGGCAGUUUCCAAAAAGAGAAAUAGGGACAACUGAAGACUGCUAGAAGAUGAAAGCCGUUCCUGUUCUUCAGGUAUCAACUGAAACACUACUUAGGAUGUUUUACCAAUGAUACUUGGAUUUAUAAUGAAUAGUUGUGGAGGAAAAUUUACAGUACAGAUUCUAGUUCAGUGAUCUUAUUCCCUAGAAAGUUAUCAUUUUUUUCCAGACAUUUAAGAUAACUGUGAUAAUGUUUGUUAGUUGGACAGCAGAUCAAUAAUAUACUGACGGCAAUACAUAAUGAUCAACGGCUGAUUUGCCAGACACUUGGCAUCUCCAACCACACAUACUAAAAACAAACCUGACGAGUAUUGUGAUCUUUAUUAACUGUCAUUUUGAUAUGGCUUGAUGUAGUUCCUGGAAUUUGGAUUCCAUUUUCAGUUUUAUAUAUUAGAGAACAUGAUUAAGUGAGAUGCCAAUUGUCAAGAGCAACAUAUGAAGCACUUUGAGUGAAAUUCUAUUUUCAAGUGGCAGUUGGUGUCAGCAAUAUUUUUCCCAAAUAAUUAAAGGAAAAACUGUAA